UACGUAGGGCGCAAGCGUUAUCCGGAAUUAUUGGGCGUAAAGAGCUCGUAGGCGGUUUGUCGCGUCUGCCGUGAAAGUCCGGGGCUCAACUCCGGAUCUGCGGUGGGUACGGGCAGACUAGAGUGAUGUAGGGGAGACUGGAAUUCCUGGUGUAGCGGUGAAAUGCGCAGAUAUCAGGAGGAACACCGGUGGCGAAGGCGGGUCUCUGGGCCGAUACUGACGCUGAGGAGCGAAAGUGUGGGGAGCGAACAGG
rnacentral:rRNA from 1 species